CCCUGAAAAAAAAAAAAUGAAGAGAGGCAGGCGCAAAGAAGAGAGGCAGGCCCAAAAGCAUGAGAAGGUGAUUCUGCCACAGGAAAUGGUAAAUCAAAUUCUGUUGAGGUUGCCGGUGAAGUCUCUUCUCCAGUUCAAAACCGUGUGUAAGUCAUGGCUUUCUCACAUUUCCGAUCCACACUUUGCAAUUUCACAUUUUGAUCUAGCUGCAGCACGCACAGAGAGGAUUGCGCUGUUAGUGCCUUUUGAUCGUGAAUUCCUAUCCAUAGACUUCGAUGCGUCUCUUGCUUCUAAUGCACUAAACCUCGACCCUCUUCUAGCCUCAAAAUCUUUUUCUCUUGUGAUCCUGGGUUCCUGUAGGGGUUUUCUACUCUUGAUCUGUGGUCAUAGGCUCUACGUAUGGAAUCCAUCUACAGGUCUCUACAAAAUUCUAGUUUGGUCACCUAUUAUCACUUCCGAUCGCGAGUUCGAGAUUACAACUUUUCUUCGUGGUUUUGGGUAUGACCCACUACAGAUGACUACUUGGUUGUUCUAGCCUCCUACAACCGAAAUUUUCCGCAAGAUGAACUUGUAACCCACUUCGAGUAUUUCUCACUUAGAGCUAAUACUUGGAAAGCAACUGACGGUACAGGUUUCUCUUACAAGCAAUGCUACUAUUAUAAUGACAACCAAAUCGGAUGCUUCUCCAACAAUGCUCUUCAUUGGUUGGCUUUUCGUUUCGAUGAAUCGUUGAAUGUUAUUGUUGCCUUUGAUUUAACGAAAAAAGUGUUUUGGAGAUCCCUCUGCCCGUUCUUUUGGAGUUCGGAAACCUUAACUUUGUAUUUUGAGGGUACUUGGGGAAUUGUUCUGUCUAUGUGCUGUGGGGCUGGACCGAUCAGUAGAUAUGGAUGAUGAAAGAAUACAAUGUGCAGUCAUCUUGGACCAAGACUGUUGUCGUGUCUGCUGAAGACGUUAUUUAUGGUAGGUACUUCUUCCCAAUCUGCAUUACAGCAAGUGGUGAUAUUGUCGGAAAAGAUCUCGGAACUGGAUUGGUUAAAUGUAGUGGCAAGGGACACCUGCGAGAACAUCGGUCUUAUUUUAAUGGUCAAUGUGGAUAUGAAGUGGCCCUGUAUACAGAGUCUCUACUUUCACUCCCUUGUGAUAGCAAGCCGAGCAAACAAGCGGAAGAAGAUGACAAACAAUAGCAAACUAGAAGAAUUGAGGGUGAAAUCGGGUUGUGAUCUAAGUGUUAGAAGAGGUGUUCAGUGAUAGUUAGAGUCAUUCAAAGGCAUGCUACUUUCCCCCUCAUGAUCUGGACGUGGCAUAUGGAAGACAUUAGAGAAUGGCGUAGUAAAUAUCUUUUAAAAUGGUUGUCAAUGUAAGAAAGAACAAGAAUUUUUUACCGAGUAGGCAAGAUGUAAUAAAAUAAAAUCCCCAAAAUCUGGAAGGAGUGGCUGAGAAACUAGAGUACAAAUGAUUGCGCAUAUAUAUAUAUAUAUAUAUAUAUAUAUAUGCCUUUUAUGCAAAUGGUAUUGAACCAGAUACCCUUUUAUCAAAUGUGGUAGAAAGUGUCAAGGAAAACAAAAAUAUCUUACUGAUUAUUAAUGUUACAGUGGAUUGUUUCUUAAUUAAUAGGUUUCUGGUUUAGCAUUAUA